rnacentral:rRNA from 1 species
GACGUAGGGGCGCGAGCGUUUGUCCGGAUUUAUUGGGCGUAAAGAGCUCGUAGGCGGCUUGUCGCGUCGACUGUGAAAUCCCGCGGCUCAACCGCGGGUCUGCAGUCGAUACGGGCAGGCUAGAGUUCGGUAGGGGAGACUGGAAUUCCUGGUGUAGCGGUGAAAUGCGCAGAUAUCAGGAGGAACACCGAUGGCGAAGGCAGGUCUCUGGGCCGAUACUGACGCUGAGGAGCGAAAGCGUGGGUAGCAAACAGG